CACUAUGCUUAGCCAUAAACAUUGAUAUUUACUUACUUAUUUAUCCGCCCGGGAACUACGAGCGUCAGCUUGAAACCCAAAGGACUUGGCGGUGCUUUAGAUCCCCCUAGAGGAGCCUGUCCUAGAACCGAUGAUCCCCGUUCAACCUCACCUUUCCUUGUUCCUUUCCGCCUAUAUACCGCCGUCGUCAGCUUACUCUAUGAAGAACGAAAAGUAAGCGCAACCGGCAUCGCCCAAAACGCCAGGUCGAGGUGUAGCGAAUGGAAAGGGAAGAGAUGGGCUACAUUCAAUAAUUAUAAUGCAUACGGAAGGUGCCCUGAAAGAAGCACCUGAAGGAGGAUUUAGAAGUAAGCCGGGAGUAGAGUGCCCUGCUGAAACCGGCCCUGAAGCGCGUACACACCGCCCGUCACUCUCCCCGAAAAAAACACCAACCAUUUUUAAUAAGCCAUAACUAAUAGAGGGGAGGCAAGUCGUAA
rnacentral:rRNA from 1 species